GUAGGUGGCAAGCGUUGUCCGGAAUUAUUGUGCGUAAAGCGCGCGCAGGCGGUUCUUUAAGUCUGAUGUGAAAGCCCACGGCUCAACCGUGGAGGGUCAUUGGAAACUGGAGAACUUGAGUACAGAAGAGGAAAGCGGAAUUCCACGUGUAGCGGUGAAAUGUGUAGAGAUGUGGAGGAACUCCAGUGGCGAAGGCGGCUUUCUGGUCUGUAACCGACGCUGAGGCGCGAAAGCGUGGGGAGCAAACAGGAUUAGAUACCCUGGUAGUCCACGCCGUAAACGAUGAGUGCUAAGUGUUAGGGGGGUUUCCGCCCCCCUUAGUGCUGCAGCUAACGCAUUAAGCACUCCGCCUGGGAGUACGGCCGCAAGGCUG
rnacentral:rRNA from 1 species